UGGGGAAUAUUGCACAUGGGCGCAAGCCUGAUGCAGCCAUGCCGCGUGUGUGAAGAAGGCCUUCGGGUUGUAAAGCACUUUCAGCGAGGAGGAAGGUGUGAACUUAAUACGUUCAUCAAUUGACGUUACUCGCAGAAGAAGCACCGGCUAACUCCGUGCCAGCAGCCGCGGUAAUACGGAGGGUGCAAGCGUUAAUCGGAAUUACUGGGCGUAAAGCGCACGCAGGCGGUUUGUUAAGUCAGAUGUGAAAUCCCCGGGCUCAACCUGGGAACUGCAUUUGAAACUGGCAAGCUAGAGUCUCGUAGAGGGGGGUAGAAUUCCAGGUGUAGCGGUGAAAUGCGUAGAGAUCUGGAGGAAUACCGGUGGCGAAGGCGCCCCCUGGANGAAGACUGACGCUCAGGUGCGAAAGCGUGGGGAGCAAACA
rnacentral:rRNA from 1 species